rnacentral:lncRNA from 1 species
GUUCAGAGUUCUCCAGAUGUGGGAAAUGUAUCUCAGAUAUACUCAUCUCCACCUUUGCCGUGUGCCAGAGGAUGCACCCAGAGCAGGGGUCAGUUGAACCUCUUCAAGGUUCGGCAGCUCUACCACCAGCUCCUGGGUCUGUCGGCUCAAGCCUCAGCCUUCCCAGCCUCCCAGGGGCCUGGAAAGAGGAAAAGAAGGGUCUGGAGUAGGCUGGAGGGAGCUGUGUGAAAGCUCUGGUCAGGCUGCCUGGUGCAGGAGCAAUUGCAAGAAGGGAAAGCAGUAGCCAUUAGUGGGGACAAAGCACUGCUCUGGGGCUACCCAUUGUUGUGACUAUCUGUGCCUGCUGCUCCUGCUAUACACACUAGAACUGAGUAGCUAAACAGUCCUGGCAGGGCUGGAUCAAAAUGCUGCUUUUCCAAAUAGCAAAGACACCAACUUCAUAUGCUCCAACUUAAUCCUCUCGUCCAAACUGCAUCAGUGUUGCGAUUGAUAAUGAAAAAGACAUCACAAAAGCUGUGGCAGAUCUUUCAAAUGACUGCAUGAUAACCCUAAGGGACUUCACUGGGAUGGACGAUUGCCGAUUGCCUCCUCAUUGUUCGUUACAAGAUGUCAAUACAAUCAAUCCACAGCCAGCUGAUGGGAAGAAUGAAAUGUCCACUGGAGACUUAGACCCACAAUGGGCAGCCAUGACAUUAUAGAUGUUCAUGUAUUUUGUAACUGACUUUGCUUUGGGGGUGCCUUAAACUGGAAGAAGAAAUUAUCUUGUCUAACAAGGACAGUUGAAAAUACAUAGAUUGUAGCCAAGUACUCAGGAGGCAGAGUUAGGUAGAUCUCUGUGAGUUUGAGUCCAGCCUGGUCUACAGAGCGAGUUCCAUGGCAACCAGGGCGACACAGAGAAACCCUGUCUCAAACAAAUAAACAGACAAACAAAAAAGAAAAGAAAAAGAAAAUAUACUGAUGGUGAUGGGUAGCCUCAACUGGAGAACUGUCCUGAUUGCCUCAACUGAUAAGGGAAGAGCCCUAAGUGUAGACCCCACCUUCUGGUAACUAUUUGCCUUUUGCUGUGUUGGAGUCUGUCAAAAGACCCUCACUCACAAAGACCACAGAGAUCACCAUUGCAAACCGCAAGAGGAUUUUUUUUUAAUUGCUCCAACACGUUGGGGACCCCCCUCAGCACGCAGGCAAGAGGAGAGACCCAGAACAAAGAAAGAACACACUUUUUAUAUCUUGUAAGGGGCAGACUUAGGCAACAGAGUAGCUGGCUUAUUCUAAUUGGUGUAGCAAGUAACCCUUUCAGGCAUUGGUUGUUGUCUUCAGACACACCAGAAGAGGGAGUUAGAUCUCAUUAUGGGUGAAUGUGAGCCACCAUGUGGUUGCUAGGAUUUGAACUCAGGACUAUCAGAAGAGCAGUCAGUGCUCUUACCCGCUGAGCCAUCUUACCAUCCCAACUUUUACAUUUUUAAGAAAUUUAUUUCAUGUGUAUGGGUGUUUUGCUCGUACAUAUGUUUGUAUACUAUGUGUGUGCCUGAUGCCAGAAGAGACCAGAAGAGGGAAUUGGAUUCCCUGGGACUGAAAUUACUGAUAGUUGUGAGCUGGGAAUUGAACCAGGAGUUUCUGGAAGGGUAGCCAAUGCUUUUAACCCCUGAGCCUGGACAUGUCUAACUGCUAAAAAAAAACCGCAUAGCUUUGUUCGUCAGUUACAACCUGCAGCCUGUAGUUACUCUGGUCUCUGCAAGUAAAUUUCAGCCUGGAUAUUAGUGGUUACUUAGGGGUUUUUUAAAGACGAAGACUCAGUAGCAUCAACCACUAUGUGGAGUUGGAAGCUAUGAGGCGUGUUCCCAGGACCUGCACAGCAUCACAGUAGUUGCUGAUUAGACAGGAGUAUGAAUAUUAGCGCCUCCUGACACAGACCAUGUGGCCUUCGUUGCACUAGGAAAUUGGACGGGGUUGGCUAGCUCUUUCCAUGCAGGGGAGCCGGUGCUGAACUGGAAUGUGAUGGACGGCACAACAAAGACCCGCCGAGAAAUUCAUCACAGGAGGAAGCUAAGGAGGACGUUUGGCUCCCUAGUGAAUCUGGCCCUUUUCCUUGACCUCUCUACAGUGUAUAAAUCAUGUUUGCAAAAUAUAUUGUGACAAGUUUAUAGUCUGUCGUUUAUAUACUACAUAGCUAUAAAAACAAACGGGAGAAGAUGCUGAAAGGAGGAAGGACCCUGUUGGUUUGGUUUUUGUUUGUUUGUAUGACUGGUUGGUUUGGGAUUUGUUUGAUUUUUUUUUCCAUUUCUACCAUGGGAAAGAGUAAACAUAAAUGUACAUUGAAAAGUUGCAUUAUACAACAAGACAAGGAGUCAGGA